rnacentral:rRNA from 1 species
UGGGGAAUAUUGCACAAUGGGCGCAAGCCUGAUGCAGCCAUGCCGCGUGUAUGAAGAAGGCCUUCGGGUUGUAAAGUACUUUCAGCGGGGAGGAAGGGAGUAAAGUUAAUACCUUUGCUCAUUGACGUUACCCGCAGAAGAAGCACCGGCUAACUCCGUGCCAGCAGCCGCGGUAAUACGGAGGGUGCAAGCGUUAAUCGGAAUUACUGGGCGUAAAGCGCACGCAGGCGGUUUGUUAAGUCAGAUGUGAAAUCCCCGGGCUCAACCUGGGAACUGCAUCUGAUACUGGUCAGCUAGAGUCUUGUAGAGGGGGGUAGAAUUCCAGGUGUAGCGGUGAAAUGCGUAGAGAUCUGGAGGAAUACCGGUGGCGAAGGCGGCCCCCUGGACGAAGACUGACGCUCAGGUGCGAAAGCGUGGGGAGCAAACAGG